AACGAACGCUGGCGGCAGGCCUAACACAUGCAAGUCGAGCGCCCCGCAAGGGGAGCGGCGGACGGGUGAGUAACGCGUGGGAACGUGCCUCUUGCUUCGGAAUAGCCUCGGGAAACUGGGGGUAAUACCGAAUGUGCCCUACGGGGGAAAGAUUUAUCGGCAAGAGAUCGGCCCGCGUUGGAUUAGGUAGUUGGUGGGGUAAUGGCCUACCAAGCCGACGAUCCAUAGCUGGUUUGAGAGGAUGAUCAGCCAUACUGGGACUGAGACACGGCCCAGACUCCUACGGGAGGCAGCAGUGGGGAAUCUUAGACAAUGGGCGCAAGCCUGAUCUAGCCAUGCCGCGUGAGCGAUGAAGGCCUUAGGGUUGUAAAGCUCCUUCGUGGGGGAAGAUAAUGACUGUACCCCAAGAAGAAGCCCCGGCUAACUCCGUGCCAGCCGCCGCGGUAA
rnacentral:rRNA from 1 species